AUGAAUCACUAUCCUGGAAUCUGCUGUAGGACAGAGAAACCCAGCUUCGCAAGAAUCAAAGCUGCAGUUUACGAAGCUUUCCUGAGAGUUUCCUUGCUGUGCUCCUCUGAUGGAUGUGCAAGAUCAAGGAAUAUUCGGCAGGAGGGCGAGAGGGAGAGAAGUCUCCCGGGGAGAUGGUCACUUCACUUCCUCCUUCCUGUAACCUCUGGUAGCCAGUCUCCUAUUCUCCGUUUCUCUGAAAUCAGCCUUCGACUGGGGAAAGGAAAAGGAAGUCACAGUGGCCCCAGGACUCUUGGAUUUGCUGUUUUCUCAAGAGGUAAUAUUCCUCCUUCAGAGGGGUACAUGGCUGGCCUCUCACUGCUUUCAGGUUUGUACUCUAACUUUAUCAACGAGUUUUCCUGA
rnacentral:lncRNA from 1 species